GGUGGUUCUCAGGUGAUGUCCCCUGGAAUAGGGCCCCUCCUCUCUGAUUCCGGGUCUGUCACCCGUGAACUGCA
rfam:Myotis davidii contig226716, whole genome shotgun sequence.